GUGAGGAAUUUUCCGCAAUGGGCGAAAGCCUGACGGAGCAAUGCCGCGUGAAGGAUGAAGGCCUAUGGGUUGUAAACUUCUUUUCUCAGAAAAGAAUUAUGACGGUAUCUGAGGAAUAAGCAUCGGCUAACUCUGUGCCAGCAGCCGCGGUAAGACAGAGGAUGCAAGCGUUAUCCGGAAUGAUUGGGCGUAAAGCGUCUGUAGGUUGUUUAAAAAGUAUUCUGUCAAAGAUUAGGGCUUAACCCUAGAAAGGCAGAAUAAACUUUUAAGCUAGAGUUUGGUAGAGGCAGAGGGAAUUCCCGGUGGAGCGGUGAAAUGCGUAGAUAUCGGGAGGAACACCAAAGGCGAAGGCACUCUGCUGGGCCAAUACUAACACUGAGAGACGAAAGCGAGGGGAGCAAAUGGGAUUAGAUACCCGGGUAGUCC
rnacentral:rRNA from 1 species